rnacentral:tRNA from 1 species
GUCCCCAUAGCUCAGCUGGAUAGAGCAACAGCCUUCUAAGCUGUAGGUCAAACGUUCGAAUCGUUUUGGGGACGCCA